rnacentral:rRNA from 1 species
UGGGGAAUAUUGGACAAUGGGCGAAAGCCUGAUCCAGCCAUGCCGCGUGUGUGAAGAAGGUCUUCGGAUUGUAAAGCACUUUAAGUUGGGAGGAAGGGUUGUAGAUUAAUACUCUGCAAUUUUGACGUUACCGACAGAAUAAGCACCGGCUAACUCUGUGCCAGCAGCCGCGGUAAUACAGAGGGUGCAAGCGUUAAUCGGAAUUACUGGGCGUAAAGCGCGCGUAGGUGGUUUGUUAAGUUGGAUGUGAAAUCCCCGGGCUCAACCUGGGAACUGCAUCCAAAACUGGCAAGCUAGAGUAUGGUAGAGGGUGGUGGAAUUUCCUGUGUAGCGGUGAAAUGCGUAGAUAUAGGAAGGAACACCAGUGGCGAAGGCGACCACCUGGACUGAUACUGACACUGAGGUGCGAAAGCGUGGGGAGCAAACAGGAUUAGAUACCCACGUAGUCCCUGAGCGGGCUGGCAAGGCGCAU